AGUGAACGCUGGCGGUAGGCCUAACACAUGCCAGUCGAACGGCAGCACAGUAAGAGCUUGCUCUUACGGGUGGCGAGUGGCGGGCGGGUGAGGAGUACAUCGGAAUCUACUUUUUCGUGGAGGAUAACGUAGGGAAGCUUACGCUAAUACCGCAUACGAUCUACGGGUGAAAGCAGUGGAUCUUCGGACCUUGCGCGAUUGAACGAGCCGCUGUCGGAUUAGCUAGUUGGCGGGGUAAAGGCCCACCAAGGCGACGAUCCGUAGCUGGUCUGAGAGGAUGAUCGGCCACACUGGAACUGAGACACGGUCCAGACUCCUACGGGAGGCAGCAGUGGGGAAUAUUGGGCAAUGGGCGCAAGCCUGACCCAGCCAUACCGCGUGGGUGAAGAAGGCCUUCGGGUUGUAAAGCCCUUUUGUUGGGAAAGAAAAGCAGCAGGUUAAUACCCCGCUGUUCUGACGGUACCCAAAGAAGAAGCACCGGCUAACUACGUG
rnacentral:rRNA from 1 species